GUUUCAAACUGCGGUAAUGAGUGUUUUUCGGUUAGGUGCGUGUCACCUUAGGGCUCGGCGCACUAGAGCCUCACACCCUCACUAUGAUUAGUAAUAAGUAAACGAUAUAUGUGAUAUGGGCUCACAAAUUAGGUUCCAGCAGAAGCUAGGAGCUUGGCGACAAUCUAUUGGUCAGCCUAUAUAUUACCAUUCUGCACGAAUUUCAUUGUGUAAGAAUUGUUGGACUACUAGCAGACACUCAUCCCCAGUGCCUUCUGAAGUUUCGUGCCAUUCCUUCUAUAGUUAUACACACAUUCAAGAGCGAUAACACCUGAUGAAAGCAUUUAUCCCAUAUCCUCCAUGAAACUCCAAAAGAAAUAAUGCUAUAUGAAUAUUAUACAAAAUUUGGAAAAUUUCAAGAUUAUUAUUAUUUAUUAUUAUUGUUUCAAUAAGAGUAGAGGUACAAAUACCUAUAAACUCAAACUUAAAAAAAAAUAACAUUCGGAAACUAAGAUGAUCAAAUAACAUUAUUAAUUUCAACAAUUGCCCAAUAUUUCGUGGAGAAAGCCAUUCCCAUAUCUUCAUCUUCGAGUUACUAUCUUGAAAAAUAAAUAUUGGAACGAUUUCCUACUGAAAAAUUGGAAUUUUAUCGAACGAAUAAACAGGGAAGACUACCAGUGCUCAAAUAUGAAAAAAUCAAUUAAUUGUACAAUUUCCAAGCAUAUCAAUUAACGAAACACAAAGAAGAAUCUUCAAAAUGCUCGAAAACACUCUCUGAGAAAACAUUUGGCUGACAUGAAUUUCCAAAUGGUUUUUGAUAAAUCAAACUCCCUUUUCACAGAUUGGGAGAGGUGCUAUCAGAACAUCAUCACAUUCCUCAUGAAAGAGAAAAACGAGAAAAAAAAACUGUGAGAGAACUUCUGGGCACUGUUAGUGAAGGAAAUUUCAGUGAAAAUGGCAAGAUGCUUCAAUUGUUUGGAGCUUAUUUGGUGCCUACGAUGGAUGCCAUUACUGGACAAAAACACAACCAAAUAUAGAAUUGAAGAUUCUCAGGGAUCAUUCCUGUUUGUUGGAAGGUAGAUGCAGGAAGUGGAAGAUCAUAUAGAGUAUUGGAAAAAACAAAAUGAACAACCCCAUACAGCCAUUUAUAAAAGGCAUUGCAUCAGAGAUGAUAUAAAAUUUAUGAUUGAAUUGUAUGUAUAUUUUGUUGACAGAAGAUUCAAAUUCCAUAUUUUUUUUUAGAGUGGUUGAUAUUUGCUCCAAAAUUAUAUAUUUUACCUAGAUUUUUCUAGAGAAUCCUUAAUGGUUUAACAUUUUCUAGUGUGUAUAUUUUAUGAGAAAAAA